rnacentral:rRNA from 1 species
GACAGAGGGGGCAAGCGUUGUCCGGACUGACUGGGCGUAAAGCGCGCGCAGGCGGUCAGAGGCGUCGGUGCUCAAAGGCCACCGCUUAACGGUGGGAGGCGUGCCGAUACGCUCUGACUGGAGGGCGGGCGAGGGUGGUGGAAUUGCCGGUGUAGUGGUGAAAUGCGUAGAGAUCAGGAAGAACACCGGUGGCGAAGGCGCUCUGCUAGGCCGUAACUGACACUGAGGGACGAAAGCUAGGGGAGCGAAUGGG